UGGAUCCUCCCUGGAUCCGGGAUCCUCCCUGAACCAGCCCCUGCUCCUCCCGGGACCCUCCUGGGAUCCUCCUGGGAUCUGGGAUCCACCCUGGAUCCUCCCUGGAUCAACCCCUGCUCCUCCCGGGAUCCUCCUGGGAUCUGGGAUCCACCCUGGAUCCUCCCUGGAUCCGGGAUCCUCCCUGAACCAGCCCCUGCUCCUCCCAGGAUCUGGGGGUUUUGGGAUCCUCCCUGGAUCAACCCCUGCUCCUCCCGGGAUCCUCCUGGGAUCUGGGAUCCUCCCUGGAUCCGGGAUCCACCCUGAACCAACCCCUGCUCCUCCCAGGAUCCGGAGUUUUGGGAUCCCCCCUGAAUAAAUCCCUUCUUUUCCCACUGAUUUUGUUUUUAUUUUUUUUGGGUGUUUGGGUCAUUCCCGGAGCCCUCAAAUCCCGCCGGAUCCUCCCCUAAAAAAAAUCCCCAAAAUCCCCAAAAUUCCCAAAAUUCCGAGGCUCUUUUCUUCCCAGAUCUGAUUUUAUUGGGGGAUCCGGGAAUUCCGGGAUCGCUUCCCGCUGCCCCGGGAUCCCGGCGGGAAUUUGGGGGGAAAUUCGCCGGGGGAACCCCGGGGGAAUCCCUGGGAAUUCCCGGGAAUUCCCGGAUGGGCUCAUCCCUGCUGGGGCGGGCAGGGCUCCCCGGGACGCUCCAGGUGGAUUCUGGGGCGGAUUCCAGCGGGACUGGGAGGCGGAGAGGGGAUUCCCGGGAAUGCUGAGGGAUUCCUGGGGGAUUCCUGGGAAUGCUGAGGGAUUCCCGGGAAUGCUGAGGGAUUCCCAGGAUUCCCGGGGGAUUCCUGGAAUUCCCGGGGAUGCUGAGGGAUUCCCAGGGGAUUCCUGGAAUUCCUGGGAAUGCUGAGAGAUUCCCGGAAAAUUCCUGGGAAUG
rnacentral:lncRNA from 1 species